UAAUAUUGGCCACUACAUCAUCGAACUGAUCUAUCGUGAUAUCCUGUAUCACAUGGGAUAUGUUAAGAACUUUCAAAAGAGCCUUUUAGUGAGCUUAUGAACUAAGUAAUAAUGACAAGAUUGAGAUCUUUGAUGUAGUUUGAACCAGCUGGUCGACAAUAUUGAAAUCACUUCUUUUAAUCAGCUUCAAGAAUCCAUGCCCCUAUUCUGCAGUAAUGAUCUUUUCAGC
rnacentral:lncRNA from 1 species